GUUGCCCCACCCACUUCCGCCGCCCACCCUCGGUCGACUGCCGCAGGAGUUGGACCGUGAGGAGGCGUUUACGGCUGCCGCGUGCCGGAAAGUGCGUGAGUGCCGGGCCCGAGCGUUUUAUUCUGUUUUCUGAAUCCUGAGGGCUGGAGGCGGGGAACUGGGACGAAUCUUUCUGUGCGGUUUCGAGAAGGAAGGGGGCCGCCGGCUACGCGACUGGGUCGAGUGACUGACACCGGGUCGGCUGCCUGGGCCGCCACCGCUUAGACUAGCGUGGGGCGGGGCUCGAUUGGCAGUUUAGAAAAAGAGGAGCAGAUUGAAAAGGACUACCUUUUCUGGAGGAAAGCUCAGAAGUGAUAACAGACAAAAGCAGAAAAAUAGCAAUUUGGAGGAAAACAAGAAAGCUAGUAUUAAUGAACUCGAAAAAAUUGCUCUGCUACAUUGUAUGCUUGUAAUGUGAGCUAACUCAUAAAUUAUUAGUAAACAGGAGACGUAUACAAGUAUUAACAUGGAAAUAAUGUUGGCUCCUAUGUGAUUUUUUUUCCCUAAGAAAGAGGAGCCAGAGAAGCAGAUUUAUAAACUUCAGCAAGAAAAUGUCUUCACUUAGUUGCUGUACUGGCAGCAGGAGCCUUGCAAGUAUGUUUGUAAAAAAAUUUUAAAAGUGCUCACCCCCAGGGCUCCCUCCUCAGAGAGGUAUACCCUGUUUUUUUUGCAAUUGUUGACCUGGUUACCGUUGAAUCAUCUAUCCUGACUUGGCAGCCUUGUGGUUUAGGUAACUCUCUCCUUCCACAUGUACCUGAGUAUCUCCCAGCCCUACUCUUAGCAUUUUGCUAGCAUAUAUAUCUACACUAUUUUUUAAACAGUUUUACUAAGGUAUAAUUGACAUACACUAAGGUACAAUUAUUAAGCAUAAAUACAAUUUGAUAAACUUGACACAUGCCUACACCUCACCCCAAGCAGGAUAAACAUAUCCGUUAUCCCCAAGGAUUUCCUCCUGCCUCUUUUGAUACCAUCCUGCUCUCCAGCCUCCCACUCGCAUUCACAGAAUAUUAUUUUUAGCAUUUUAAACAUCUCUGUGGUAUCCUCCAGCUAUGCUGAGAGCAAUCUGUCCCAAAUUAGCUCUCCAGGCACCAAUUUCUGUUGUUUUAUUAGUGCUCCAUUUACAGUUGUAUAUGAUUUGAGUGGUAUGCCCCAAGCCUAUCCCCCCUCCCAAUAAAGUUAUUUUUAAUGUUU